UUGUCCUGUGACUGCGUACCUUUUGUAUAAUGGGUCAGCGACUUAUAUUCAGUGGCAAGGUUAACCAUCUAGGGGAGCCGUAGGGAAACCGAGUCUUAACUGGGCGUUCAGUCUCUGGAUAUAGACCCGAAACCAGGUGAUCUAGCCAUGGGCAGGUUGAAGGUUGAGUAACAUCAACUGGAGGACCGAACCGACUAAUGUUGAAAAAUUAGCGGAUGACUUGUGGCUAGGGGUGAAAGGCCAAUCAAACCUGGAGAUAGCUGGUUCUCCCCGAAAGCUAUUUAGGUAGCGCCUCGGACGAAUACUACUGGGGGUAGAGCACUGUUAAGGCUAGGGGGUCAUCCCGACUUACCAACCCUUUGCAAACUCCGAAUACCAGUAAGUACUAUCCGGGAGACACACGGCGGGUGCUAACGUCCGUCGUGGAGAGGGAAACAACCCAGACCGCCAGCUAAGGUCCCAAAUUACUACUAAGUGGGAAACGAUGUGGGAAGGCUCAGACAGCCAGGAUGUUGGCUUAGAAGCAGCCAUCAUUUAAAGAAAGCGUAAUAGCUCACUGGUCGAGUCGGCCUGCGCGGAAGAUGUAACGGGGCUAAGUAGUAAACCGCAGCUGCGGCAAUGUGCUUUUGCACAUUGGGUAGGGGAGCGUUCUGUAAGCG
rnacentral:rRNA from 1 species